GCGGCCGCCGCGCCCGAGCACAUGGCGUCCAUCUUACUGAGGAGCUGCCGCGGCCGGGCGCCGGCCCGUCUCCCGCCGCCGCCUCGGGUCACCGUCCCGCGGGGUAGUCCGGGGGAUCCGGCUCAUCUCAGCUGUGCCAACACCCUGGGGUUGAGGAGCUGCCUGAAUGGAUGUUGAAUUUGUCGAGCAACUUUUUAGCAUUUAAAUUUCAUACUAAAACAUAAAAGCUGGCCAGGCACGUGGCUCAUACCUGUAAUCCCAACACUUUUGGAGGCUGAGUCGGGCAGAUCACGAGGUCAGGAGUUCAAGACCAGCCUAG
rnacentral:sRNA from 1 species